UACAGAGGGGGCGAGCGUUGUUCGGAAUUACUGGGCGUAAAGGGCGCGUAGGCGGCCUUCUAAGUCGAACGUGAAAUCCCCGGGCUCAACCCGGGAACUGCGUCCGAUACUGGGAGGCUUGAAUCCGGGAGAGGGAUGUGGAAUUCCAGGUGUAGCGGUGAAAUGCGUAGAUAUCUGGAGGAACACCGGUGGCGAAGGCGGCCAUCUGGACGGUGACUGACGCUGAGACGCGAAAGCGUGGGGAGCAAACAGG
rnacentral:rRNA from 1 species